rnacentral:rRNA from 1 species
UACGUAGGGUGCAAGCGUUGUCCGGAAUUAUUGGGCGUAAAGAGCUCGUAGGCGGUUUGUCGCGUCGGCUGUGAAAACCCGCAGCUCAACUGUGGGCUUGCAGCCGAUACGGGCAGGCUUGAGUUCGGUAGGGGAGACUGGAAUUCCUGGUGUAGCGGUGAAAUGCGCAGAUAUCAGGAGGAACACCGGUGGCGAAGGCGGGUCUCUGGGCCGAUACUGACGCUGAGGAGCGAAAGCGUGGGGAGCGAACAGG